rnacentral:sRNA from 1 species
UUCCUGCCUGUCCUCGGCUGUGUUCCCUG